GGACUGACUGCUAUCGGAUUGAUACUAAGCCAUGCGAGUCAUUGUAGCAAUACAAGGCAUACGGCUCAGUAACGCGUAGUCAACCUAACCUAUGGACGGGAAUAACCUCGGGAAACUGAGAAUAAUGCCCGAUAGAACAUUAUGCCUGGAAUGGUUUAUGUUCCAAAUGAUUUAUCGCCGUAGGAUGGGACUGCGGCCUAUCAGUUUGUUGGUGAGGUAAUGGCCCACCAAGACUAUUACAGGUACGGGCUCUGAGAGGAGUAGCCCGGAGAUGGGUACUGAGACACGGACCCAGGCCCUAUGGGGCGCAGCAGGCGAGAAAACUUUGCAAUGUGCGAAAGCACGACAAGGUUAAUCCGAGUGGUUUCUGCUAAAGAAACCUUUUGUCAGUCCUAGAAACACUGAUGAAUAAGGGGUGGGCAAGUUCUGGUGU
rnacentral:rRNA from 1 species